rnacentral:rRNA from 1 species
UUAAGUUAGAAAGGGCGCACGGUGGAUGCCUUGACACUAGGAGUCGAUGAAGGACGGGACUAACGCCGAUAUGCUUCGGGGAGCUGUAAGUAAGCUUUGAUCCGAAGAUUUCCGAAUGGGGAAACCCACCAUACGUAAUGGUAUGGUAUCCUUAUCUGAAUACAUAGGGUAAGGAAGACAGACCCAGGGAACUGAAACAUCUAAGUACCUGGAGGAAGAGAAAGCAAAUGCGAUUUCCUGAGUAGCGGCGAGCGAAACGGAACAUAGCCCAAACCAAGAGGCUUGCCUCUUGGGGUUGUAGGACAUUCUAUACGGAGUUACAAAGGAACGAGGUAGGGGACGAAGCGACCUGGAAAGGUCCGUCGUAGCCAGGGGUAACAACCCCGCUAGUCCGACACACGCUUCGUUCUCUCUUGAAUGUAUCCUGAGUACCGGGGGGCGGACACACGUGACAAAUCCCGUCGGAAUCUGGGAGAACCAAUCUCCACAAGGGCUGAAAUACUCCCCUAAGUGAUCGAUUAGAUGGAACCAGUACCGUGAGGGAGAAGGUGAAAAGCACCCCGAAGGAGUGAAAGAGAUCCUGAAACCGUGUUGCCUACAAAUAGUCAGACGCCCGUUAAUGGGUGGAUGGCGUGCCUUUGUCGUAGAAUGAACGCGCGAGUAGCGGACUCCCGUGCGAGCGUUAAGCGUGAAGAGGCGGACGCCGCAGGAAACCCAGCCCCGCAAUAGGCAGCUUAGUACGUGGGCGUACGACCCAUAAACAAGGUGAUCUACCAAAGAGUCACCAAGGAGUGAAGAGUCUGGAAACCCUUAAAAUGGAGGCUACCGAACGCGUCAGCGCCCGUGAAACGUAGCUAGCGAGGGACUGCGAGCGAAGUUGCAGAAUAGGACGACAGAAGAAACUCAGAAUCGAAGCCGAGGAGACGUAGCUGUCUAUCAUCCGUGAAGUUCAGCACUGGAAUGAGGGGCACCCAGCGUACUUAAGUGCGGCGAAGAGCUGAGAACGGCGAUAAUCGAACACUAGACAUGGACUAGGGGUCCUCACCGAAAUACCGUAAGUCAGUUAAGACUCCAAGGUCCACGGAGCGAGAUGCAACGGGAGGAGCGUGGUACGCGUAGGAAGUCCGAGACUGCGUAAGGGGUGGAGAUGGAUAAGAUCUCCCGUAGUCAAAAGGGAAACAGCCCAGAACACGGCCAGCCUAAGGUCCCAAAGUGUGUAUUUAAGUGAAAAGGAUGGGAGCUGCUUAACAACGAGGAGUUGGCUAGAAGCAGCCACCCUUAAAAAGUGCGUAAUAGACUCACUCUAGUCGAGUGACUCUGCGCGAAGAAUGUACCGGGGCUAAAUACACCCACCUAAGCUGCGCGGGAUGAGACCAGAUGGUAUCAGUGUAGCGGGCGGCGUUCUAAGGACAGUGAAGUCAGACCGGGAAGGACUGUGGUGGGUGGAUUAGUGCUGUAGGAAGUGCCGAGAAUGCCCGGAUAGAGAGUAGCGAAAGACGGGUGAGGAGAAUCCCGUCCAACGCCGAAGUUGCCUGUAAGAUUUCCUGAGGAAAGGCUCGUCCAGCUCAAGGUUGAGUCGAGGUACCUAAGAGCCGGACCGACAGGCGUAUGGGAUCAACAGACAGGUUGAGUAUUCCCUGUGUACCACCUCUUUAAUCGUUUGAGCAAUGGAGGGGACGCACGACGAGGGCAUAGAAGAUAGCGGUUGCGAGUGGUUUGGUCAGGCACAGUCCAAGCAGUUAGGGCUGAUAAGUAGGGGGCAAUACCCCGCCUAUCGUGGAAGGCUGAGCUGUGCAUGGUGGGAAGCUCCUAAUGGAGGCGAAGUCUUUUGAUUCCCCGCCUGCCAAGGAAGAAGCUUCUAGCGAGAUAAAAAAGGUGCCUGUACCCGCAAACCGACACAGGUAGGCGAGGAGGAGAGGAUCCUAAGGUGUGCGAGUAGGAACUCUGGUUAAGGAACUCGGCAAAAUGACCCCGUAACUUCGGGGAGAGGGUGUGCUUUCUUAACGUGAAAGCCGCAGUGAAUAGGCCCAAGCGACCUGUUUUAGCAAAAACACAGUGCCUCUUCUGCGCGAAGCGCCGAUAAGGCGAAGUAUAGGGGGUGACACCUGCCCCGGGUGCUGGAAGGUUAAGGAGAGGGGGUUAUGCGUUAAGCGAAGCCUCUGAACUGAAGCCACCAGUAAACGGCGGCCGUAACUAUUAACGGUCCUAUAAGGUAGCGAAAUUCCUUGUGUCGGGUAAGUUAUUCCCCACCCCGCACGAAAGGUGUAACGAUUUGGGCACUGUCUCAACCAGAGACUCGGUGAAAUUAUAGUACCUGUGAAGAUGCAGGUUACCCGCGACAGGACGGAAAGACCCCGUGGAGCUUUACUGUAGCCUGAUAUUGAAUUUUGGUACAGUUUGUACAGGAUAGGCGGGAGCCUUUGAAACCGGAGCGCUAGCUUCGGUGGAGGCGCUGGUGGGAUACCGCCCUGACUGUAUUGAAAUUCUAACCUACGGGUCUUAUCGACCCGGGAGACAGUGUCAGGUGGGCAGUUUGACUGGGGCGGUCGCCUCCUAAAGUGUAACGGAGGCGCCCAAAGGUUCCCUCAGAAUGGUUGGAAAUCAUUCGUAGAGUGCAAAGGCAUAAGGGAGCUUGACUGCGAGACCUACAAGUCGAGCAGGGACGAAAGUCGGGCUUAGUGAUCCGGUGGUUCCGCAUGGAAGGGCCAUCGCUCAACGGAUAAAAGCUACCCCGGGGAUAACAGGCUUAUCUCCCCCAAGAGUCCACAUCGACGGGGAGGUUUGGCACCUCGAUGUCGGCUCAUCGCAUCCUGGGGCUGUAGUCGGUCCCAAGGGUUGGGCUGUUCGCCCAUUAAAGCGGUACGCGAGCUGGGUUCAGAACGUCGUGAGACAGUUCGGUCCCUAUCCGUCGUGGGCGUAGGAAAUUUGAGAGGAGCUGUCCUUAGUACGAGAGGACCGGGAUGGACGCACCGCUGGUGUACCAGUUGUUCUGCCAAGGGCAUAGCUGGGUAGCUAUGUGCGGAAGGGAUAAGUGCUGAAAGCAUCUAAGCAUGAAGCCCCCCUCAAGAUGAGAUUUCCCAUAGCGUAAGCUAGUAAGAUCCCUGAAAGAUGAUCAGGUUGAUAGGUUCGAGGUGGAAGCAUGGUGACAUGUGGAGCUGACGAAUACUAAUAGAUCGAGGACUUAACCAU